GAAUGAAAGAGAAAUAAAGACACUCUCAGAUGAAAAACACUAAAAGAAUUUGUCACCAGUUGACCAUUCCUAAAGGAAGUUCCUGAAACAGAAAGAAGUGAUUAAAAAAGGAAUCUUGGAACAUCAAGAAGAAAUAACAGGAAGAACAAAAUACAGUGCAAGUUGCACCUCCAAGGAAAAGUGCAUUGGAAGCAAGCAUUGGACGUUCACUGGCCCUGAAAUCUUGGAUGUCUUUGAUGUAAUAAAAACAGCACAGGACGAAGAGUCAGAGUACCUUGAUACUGGGCCCACCUCAUGCAGCUUUUCCCAGCUGCACAAAUCUGGGUGUGCUAGCACUUGAUGCUAAAGAUGACACCCAGUCCAAGGUCAGCAAAUGGAAAGCAUCCUCGCCACAACUCUUCAGCAAACACGGCUUCUCUAUCAGAGAGCACUUUUCAGCUAAGUCCAGAUGCAGGCCCAAAGUCCUCUCCGCCCAUCCUUCCAGAAGGCCACUGUGAUAAUCUGAAUUGGGAAGGAAAGAGAAGUUCCAUUGCCUUCCAAGAUCACCUUCUUCUUUAUUUACCUCCAGG